rnacentral:rRNA from 1 species
UGGGAGCCCUAUUACAUGCCAGUCGACGAACUCUGGUAUUGAUUGGUGCUUGCAUCAUGAUUUACAUUUGAGUGAGUGGCGAACUGGUGAGUAACACGUGGGAAACCUGCCCAGAAGCGGGGGAUAACACCUGGAAACAGAUGCUAAUACCGCAUAACAACUUGGACCGCAUGGUCCGAGCUUGAAAGAUGGCUUCGGCUAUCACUUUUGGAUGGUCCCGCGGCGUAUUAGCUAGAUGGUGGGGUAACGGCUCACCAUGGCAAUGAUACGUAGCCGACCUGAGAGGGUAAUCGGCCACAUUGGGACUGAGACACGGCCCAAACUCCUACGGGAGGCAGCAGUAGGGAAUCUUCCACAAUGGACGAAAGUCUGAUGGAGCAACGCCGCGUGAGUGAAGAAGGGUUUCGGCUCGUAAAACUCUGUUGUUAAAGAAGAACAUAUCUGAGAGUAACUGUUCAGGUAUUGACGGUAUUUAACCAGAAAGCCACGGCUAACUACGUGCCAGCAGCCGCGGUAAUACGUAGGUGGCAAGCGUUGUCCGGAUUUAUUGGGCGUAAAGCGAGCGCAGGCGGUUUUUUAAGUCUGAUGUGAAAGCCUUCGGCUCAACCGAAGAAGUGCAUCGGAAACUGGGAAACUUGAGUGCAGAAGAGGACAGUGGAACUCCAUGUGUAGCGGUGAAAUGCGUAGAUAUAUGGAAGAACACCAGUGGCGAAGGCGGCUGUCUGGUCUGUAACUGACGCUGAGGCUCGAAAGUAUGGGUAGCAAACAGGAUUAGAUACCCUGGUAGUCCAUACCGUAAACGAUGAAUGCUAAGUGUUGGAGGGUUUCCGCCCUUCAGUGCUGCAGCUAACGCAUUAAGCAUUCCGCCUGGGGAGUACGGCCGCAAGGCUGAAACUCAAAGGAAUUGACGGGGGCCCGCACAAGCGGUGGAGCAUGUGGUUUAAUUCGAAGCUACGCGAAGAACCUUACCAGGUCUUGACAUACUAUGCAAAUCUAAGAGAUUAGACGUUCCCUUCGGGGACAUGGAUACAGGUGGUGCAUGGUUGUCGUCAGCUCGUGUCGUGAGAUGUUGGGUUAAGUCCCGCAACGAGCGCAACCCUUAUUAUCAGUUGCCAGCAUUAAGUUGGGCACUCUGGUGAGACUGCCGGUGACAAACCGGAGGAAGGUGGGGAUGACGUCAAAUCAUCAUGCCCCUUAUGACCUGGGCUACACACGUGCUACAAUGGAUGGUACAACGAGUUGCGAACUCGCGAGAGUAAGCUAAUCUCUUAAAGCCAUUCUCAGUUCGGAUUGUAGGCUGCAACUCGCCUACAUGAAGUCGGAAUCGCUAGUAAUCGCGGAUCAGCAUGCCGCGGUGAAUACGUUCCCGGGCCUUGUACACACCGCCCGUCACACCAUGAGAGUUUGUAACACCCAAAGUCGGUGGGGUAACCUCUAGGAACCAGCCCGCGUAAGGUGAACA